rnacentral:rRNA from 1 species
AGUGAACGCUGGCGGUAGGCCUAACACAUGCAAGUCGAACGGCAGCACAGUAAGAGCUUGCUCUUACGGGUGGCGAGUGGCGGACGGGUGAGGCAUACAUCGCCAUCUACUUUUUCGUGGGGGAUAACGUAGGGACACUUACGCUAAUACCGCAUACGACCUACGGGUGAAAGCAGUGGAUCUUCGGACCUUGCGCGAUUCUAUUAGCCGAUGCCGGAUUAGCUAGUUGGCUAGGUAAAGGCCCACCAAGGCGACGAUCCGUAGCUGGUCUGAGAGGAUGAUCAGCCACACUGGAACUGAGACACGGUCCAGACUCCUACGGGAGGCAGCAGUAGGGAAUAUUGGGCAAUGGGCGCAAGCCUGAUCCAGCAAUGCCGCGUGAGUGAAGAAGGCCUUCGGGUUGUAAAGCCCUUUUGUUGGGAAAGAAAAGCAGCGGGUUAAUACCCCGCUGUUCUGACGGUACCCAAAGAAUAAGCACCGGCUAACUUCGUG